GGACAGAUGGCCGAGUGGUCUAAGGCGCUGUCUUCAGGUUCCCUCGCGAGCAUGAUCGGCAGUCUUCGGGCGUGGGUUCGAAUCCCACUCUGUUCA